rnacentral:misc_RNA from 1 species
CUUAUUUCGCUCUGUGACCAUGCUCUUUCAGGGGCGGUCAUGGAUGCGGAGAUUGGCCCUUCGUGCCUUAUGUGUGGCGGUCUUAAGCGUGGGCUGUCGGCAUCGGGAUGGGCAUGAUAAGUGGUGGACGGAGUACCAGUAGGAUAUUGUGGUCCCCCAUCGCCUUAAGGGGCUCAAGAGACCCAGACUAGGCGAGCCGUGCUCCGUACGAGGAGGGUGAGCCAUCUCACAAU